ACUACAUGAACACUCUAUUUUUGUGAAAUCAUUUUCAGAAAUUUUUCAAAUUUUUAGGGUUUUUUUCAAUGACAUAAAUGAAUGCAGACAAUAUGCACAAUGCAAGAAAAAUUUGAAAACAAGAACAAAGCAAACACAUCAGAUACUUCUUGAGCCCUCCCCCAAACUUAAAUCACACAGUCCUCUGUGUGAUCAAACUUGGAAGAGAGUACUCAGGACAAACAAACAAAGAAAGAA
rnacentral:lncRNA from 1 species